AUUUAUAUAAUUUAUAUAGAAUAUUGCAUUGAAGCUGCAAAAGAAGUUUAAGACUUGUAGAUG
rnacentral:tRNA from 1 species